ACUUGAAUAUUAGUAGUUAUGAGCUUUAAAUUCAAAGAAUUUGGCGGUAUUUUAGUCUUGUUAGAGGAACCUGUUCUGUAAACGAUACUACACGAAGAAUCUUACUUACUUUUGUUUUUCAGUUUGUAUACCGUCAUUAUUAGAUAACCUUUAUUGAGGAAGUUAUUGAAAUAUGUGAAGUCAGAUAUAUUAGAUCAAGGUGCAGCUUAUAGGUAAGAAGAAAUGGGUUACAAUAAAAUUUAUUUAAACGUAUUAGUGGCUGAAUGAUUACUAUGAAGGAGGAUUUAAUUGUAAUGUGAAUUUAAUAAGUUGAUAUGAUAUGAGAACUAAAAUAUGUACAUAUCGCCCGUCGC
rnacentral:rRNA from 1 species